CGGAUCCGCGCCGCUGCAGAGUUUGAUCCUGGCUCAGGAUGAACGCUGGCGGCGUGCCUAAUACAUGCAAGUCGAACGGUGAAGUUACUUCGGUAACGGAUCAGUGGCGAACGGGUGAGUAAUAUAUGAACAACCUACCCCUUUGACUGGGAUAACACACUGAAAAGCGUGCUAAUACCGGAUAGGCAAUCGAGAGGCAUCUCUUGAUUAUUAAAGGAGCGUCUGCUCCACAUUGGGAUGGGUUCAUAUCGCAUUAGCUAGUUGGUGAGGUAACGGCCCACCAAGGCUGUGAUGCGCAGCCGAUCUGAGAGGAUGACCGGCCACAUUGGGACUGAGACACGGCCCAGACUCCUACGGGAGGCAGCAGUAGGGAAUUUUCGGCAAUGGGGGAAACCUUGACCGAGCAACGCCGCGUGAACGAUGAAGGUCUUAUGGAUUGUAAAGUUCUGUUACGAGGGAAGAAUACCAUGGAUAGGAAAUGAUCUGUGGCUGACGGUACCUCGCCAGAAAGCCACGGCUAACUACGUGCCAGCAGCCGCGGUAAUACGUAGGUGGCAAGCGUUAUCCGGAAUCAUUGGGCGUAAAGGGUGCGUAGGCGGCUUCUUAAGUUUGUAGUGAAAUCGUAGGGCUCAACUCUAUCUAGCUACAAAAACUGGGAGGCUGGAGUGCGGUAGAGGCUAGUGGAAUUCCUAGUGUAGCGGUAAAAUGCGUAGAUAUUAGGAGGAACACCGGUGGCGAAGGCGACUAGCUGGGCCGUAACUGACGCUGAGGCACGAAAGCGUGGGGAGCAAAUAGGAUUAGAUACCCUAGUAGUCCACGCCGUAAACGAUGAAUACUAAGUGUUGGAGAAAUUCAGUGCUGCAGUUAACGCAAUAAGUAUUCCGCCUGGGGAGUAUGCACGCAAGUGUGAAACUCAAAGGAAUUGACGGGGACCCGCACAAGCGGUGGAUUAUGUGGUUUAAUUCGAUGCAACGCGAAGAACCUUACCAAGUCUUGACAUCCCUGGCAAAACUCUAGAGAUAGAGCGGAGGUUAUCCAGGUGACAGGUGGUGCAUGGUUGUCGUCAGCUCGUGUCGUGAGAUGUUGGGUUAAGUCCCGCAACGAGCGCAACCCUUGUCUUCAGUUACCAGCAUUCAGUUGGGGACUCUGGAGAGACUGCCGGUGACAAACCGGAGGAAGGUGGGGAUGACGUCAAAUCAGCAUGCCCCUUACGACUUGGGCUACACACGUAAUACAAUGGCGCACACAAAGGGAAGCAAUACCGCGAGGUGGAGCAAAUCUCAUAAAUUGCGUCUCAGUUCGGAUUAGAGUCUGCAACUCGACUCUAUGAAGUUGGAAUCGCUAGUAAUCGUGGAUCAGCACGCCACGGUGAAUACGUUCUCGGGUCUUGUACACACCGCCCGUCAAACCAUGAGAGUUGGCAAUGCCCGAAGCCGGUGGCCUAACCGCAAGGAGGGAGCCGUCGAAGGCAGGGCUGAUGAUUGGGGUUAAGUCGUAACAAGGUAACCCGGGCCGGCCGCUCGAGCC
rnacentral:rRNA from 1 species